GCACAGGUGGCGGAGUGGUCAAUCGCAGUGGACUGUAAAUCCAUCGCCCAUUGGGCUACGGGGGUUCGAAUCCCUCCCUGUGCACCA
rnacentral:tRNA from 3 species